rnacentral:rRNA from 1 species
AACCUGGGAACUGCAUUCGAAACUGGCAGGCUAGAGUCUUGUAGAGGGGGGUAGAAUUCCAGGUGUAGCGGUGAAAUGCGUAGAGAUCUGGAGGAAUACCGGUGGCGAAGGCGGCCCCCUGGACAAAGACUGACGCUCAGGUGCGAAAGCGUGGGGAGCAAACAGGAUUAGAUACCCUGGUAGUCCACGCCGUAAACGAUGUCGAUUUGGAGGUUGUGCCCUUGAGGCGUGGCUUCCGGAGCUAACGCGUUAAAUCGACCGCCUGGGGAGUACGGCCGCAAGGUUAAAACUCAAAUGAAUUGACGGGGGCCCGCACAAGCGGUGGAGCAUGUGGUUUAAUUCGAUGCAACGCGAAGAACCUUACCUGGUCUUGACAUCCACAGAACUUUCCAGAGAUGGAUUGGUGCCUUC